rnacentral:rRNA from 1 species
AUUGAACGCUGGCGGCAGGCUUAACACAUGCAAGUCGAGCGGAGUGAUGGUGCUUGCACUAUCACUUAGCGGCGGACGGGUGAGUAAUGCUUAGGAAUCUGCCUAUUAGUGGGGGACAACAUCUCGAAAGGGAUGCUAAUACCGCAUACGCCCUACGGGGGAAAGCAGGGGAUCUUCGGACCUUGCGCUAAUAGAUGAGCCUAAGUCGGAUUAGCUAGUUGGUGGGGUAAAGGCCUACCAAGGCGACGAUCUGUAGCGGGUCUGAGAGGAUGAUCCGCCACACUGGGACUUAGACACGGCCCAGACUCCUACGGGAGGCAGCAGUGGGGAAUAUUGGACAAUGGGCGGAAGCCUGAUCCAGCCAUGCCGCGUGUGUGAAGAAGGCCUUUUGGUUGUAAAGCACUUUAAGCGAGGAGGAGGCUACUUAGAUUAAUGCUCUGGGAUAGUGGACGUUACUCGCAGAAUAAGCACCGGCUAACUCUGUGCCAGCCGCCGCCGUAA